UACGGAGGGUGCAAGCGUUAUCCGGAAUCAUUGGGUUUAAAGGGUCCGUAGGCGGAUUAAUAAGUCAGGGGUGAAAUCCCACAGCUUAACUGUGGAAUUGCCCUUGAUACUGUUAGUCUUGAGUUAUAUGGAAGUAGAUAGAAUGUGUAGUGUAGCGGUGAAAUGCAUAGAUAUUACACGGAAUACCGAUUGCGAAGGCAGUCUACUACGUAUAUACUGACGCUAAUGGACGAAAGCGUGGGGAGCGAAC
rnacentral:rRNA from 1 species